rnacentral:rRNA from 1 species
ACGCACGCUGGCGGCGUGCCUCAUCCAUGCAAGUUGAGCGCUGAAGAUUGGUGCUUGCACCAAUUUGAAGAGCAGCGAACGGGUGAGUAACGCGUGGGGAAUCUGCCUUUGAGCGGGGGACAACAUUUGUAAACGAAUGCUAAUACCGCAUAACAACUUUAAACAUAAGUUUUAAGUUUGAAAGAUGCAAUUGCAUCACUCAAAGAUGAUCCCGCGUUGUAUUAGCUAGUUGGUGAGGUAAAGGCUCACCAAGGCGAUGAUACAUAGCCGACCUGAGAGGGUGAUCGGCCACAUUGGGACUGAGACACGGCCCAAACUCCUACGGGAGGCAGCAGUAGGGAAUCUUCGGCAAUGGACGAAAGUCUGACCGAGCAACGCCGCGUGAGUGAAGAAGGUUUUCGGAUCGUAAAACUCUGUUGGUAGAGAAGAACGUUGGUGAGAGUGGAAAGCUCAUCAAGUGACGGUAACUACCCAGAAAGGGACGGCUAACUACGUG